AACCAUGUUGAAGUGAGCAGAACUGCGCCUAGCGUGGCAGAGUGGCGCCUGGGCGUGACAAGUCAGUGUUGAACCAUGUUGAAGUGAGCAGAACUGCGCCUGGGCGUGGCUAAGUGGUGCCUGGGCGUGGCUGAUUUGAUUAAUUUUUUCCAAACUUCUUGCUUGAAUCACUAACUCUCAUAGUUGACUUUCCGAAACUCCUUGGACACUAUUUCACUUCAAAUACUAAGAGUGCACCUGAUAACACACAAAGAUAUAAUAAUACUCCAAGAAUUGUUUGGUUAGGGAAAAAUCAACACAAAUCAAACUAUUUUCUCUAGUUAUUGGAUGAACUAAAUUUCUAUACAAAAGUGAUUAAAAUUGAAAUAAACUAAGAAAAUUAAUUAAAAUAAAGUCUAAAACUGAUUGAAAAAUUAAAUAAAAAUGAUGAACAAUCA
rnacentral:lncRNA from 1 species